ACUCAUACCUUGCAGGGGAAAUGCCAUGGUCAUGAAAGUGGUUUUCUCAGGGUGAGGCUCAUCCAUUGCACUUCGCAUGUGCUGAUCCCUAUGAUUUCCCUAAAUGUGGGGAACUCAACUGCAUAAUUUGUGUUAAUGAGGGAUUGCAAUUGUGAUUUCCUUAG
rnacentral:snRNA from 1 species